AUUGAACGCUGGCGGCAUGCCUUACACAUGCAAGUCGAACGGCAGCACGGGGGCAACCCUGGUGGCGAGUGGCGAACGGGUGAGUAACAUAUCGGAACAUACCCUAGAGUGGGGGAUAACGUAGCGAAAGUUACGCUAAUACCGCAUACGAUCUAAGGAUGAAAGUGGGGGAUCUUCGGACCUCAUGCUCAUGGAGUGGCCGAUAUCUGAUUAGCUAGUUGGUGAGGUAAAGGCUCACCAAGGCGACGAUCAGUAGCUGGUUUGAGAGAACGACCAGCCACACUGGAACUGAGACACGGUCCAGACUCCUACGGGAGGCAGCAGUGGGAAUUUUGGACAAUGGGGGCACCCUGGAUCCAGCAAUGCCGCGUGAGCGAAGAAGCCC
rnacentral:rRNA from 1 species